rnacentral:rRNA from 1 species
UGGGGAAUUUUGGACAAUGGGCGAAAGCCUGAUCCAGCAAUGCCGCGUGUGUGAAGAAGGCCUUCGGGUUGUAAAGCACUUUUGUCCGGAAAGAAAUCCUUGGCUCUAAUACAGUCGGGGGAUGACGGUACCGGAAGAAUAAGCACCGGCUAACUACGUGCCAGCAGCCGCGGUAAUACGUAGGGUGCAAGCGUUAAUCGGAAUUACUGGGCGUAAAGCGUGCGCAGGCGGUUUGCUAAGACCGAUGUGAAAUCCCCGGGCUCAACCUGGGAACUGCAUUGGUGACUGGGCAGGCUAGAGUAUGGCAGAGGGGGGUAGAAUUCCACGUGUAGCAGUGAAAUGCGUAGAGAUGUGGAGGAAUACCGAUGGCGAAGGCAGCCCCCUGGGCCAAUACUGACGCUCAUGCACGAAAGCGUGGGGAGCAAACAGGAUUAGAUACCCUGGUAGUCCACG